GCAUAUCAAUAAGCGGAGGAAAAGAAACCAACAGGGAUUACCUCAGUAACGGCGAGUGAAGCGGUAAAAGCUCAAAUUUGAAAUCUGGCUCUUUUAGAGUCCGAAUUGUAAUUUGUAGAAGAUGCUUCGGGUGUGGUUCCGGUCUAAGUUCCUUGGAACAGGACGUCAUAGAGGGUGAGAAUCCCGUAUGUGACUGGAUACCUAUGCUCAUGUGAAGCUCUUUCGACGAGUCGAGUUGUUUGGGAAUGCAGCUCAAAAUGGGAGGUAUAUUUCUUCUAAAGCUAAAUAUUGGCCAGAGACCGAUAGCGCACAAGUAGAGUGAUCGAAAGAUGAAAAGCACUUUGGAAAGAGAGUUAAACAGUACGUGAAAUUGUUGAAAGGGAAGCGCUUGCAAUCAGACUUGCACUUGGUGUUCAUCAGGGUCUCGUACCCUGUGUACUUCAUCAAGUUCAGGCCAGCAUCAGUUUGAGUGGUUAGAUAAAGGCUUAGAGAAUGUGGCCCUCUUCGGGGGGUGUUAUAGCUCUAGGUGCAAUGUAGCCUACUUGGACUGAGGACCGCGCUUCGGCUAGGAUGCUGGCGUAAUGGUUGUAAGCGACCCGUCUUGAAACACGGACCAAGGAGUGUACCUAAUAUGCGAGUGUUUGGGUGUUAAACCCAUACGCGUAAUGAAAGUGAACGCUGGUGAGAACCCUUAAGGGUGCAUCAUCGACCGAUCUUGAUGUCUUCGGAUGGAUUUGAGUAAGAGCAUAUUGGGUGCGACCCGAAAGAUGGUGAUCUAURCGUGAAUAGGGUGAAGCCAGAGGAAACUCUGGUGGAGGCUCGCAGCGGUUCUGACGUGCAAAUCGAUCGUCAAAUUUGCGUAUAGGGGCGAAAGACUAAUCGAACCAUCUAGUAGCUGGUUCCUGCCGAA
rnacentral:rRNA from 1 species